UCUGCAGACUUUGGGUUUCAGAAACAAAGGAAAUGACCUCAAUUCACAGAGCAUUCAGCCAUGCUCACUUGGCAAACUGCCAGUAAGGAGUAGCAUGUGAAACUCUUAGCAAGGUUGCACAGGACCAGAAGUUAUGUAAAACAGCUGGACUGAAAUACAACAUUCUGUUCAGAAGACUGAAUGGCCUGAAGCACAAUUCCAGUGUAUUCUGAUGGGGAUGUCACUUCUCAGGCACGGUGAUUUAUUGCAUCAGAAGCACCCCAGAGAAGCAUGGCAGGGAGAGGAGUUUUCCAUGGGGCACUUCCAGGAGCAGCAGCAGUGCCUGUCCCGUGCCCACUGGGUGGCACUGCAAGCAGGCCCACGGCACUUCCCUGUCACAGGCAAUCCAGG